rnacentral:rRNA from 1 species
AGCGAACGCUGGCGGCAGGCCUAACACAUGCAAGUCGAACGAAGUCUUCGGACUUAGUGGCGGACGGGUGAGUAACACGUGGGAACGUGCCUUUAGGUUCGGAAUAACUCAGGGAAACUUGUGCUAAUACCGAAUGUGCCCUUCGGGGGAAAGAUGUUAUCGCCUUUAGAGCGGCCCGCGUCUGAUUAGCUAGUUGGUGAGGUAAAGGCUCACCAAGGCGACGAUCAGUAGCUGGUCUGAGAGGAUGAUCAGCCACAUUGGGACUGAGACACGGCCCAAACUCCUACGGGAGGCAGCAGUGGGGAAUUUUGCGCAAUGGGCGAAAGCCUGACGCAGCCAUGCCGCGUGAAUGAUGAAGGUCUUAGGAAUGUAAAAUUCUUUCACCGGGGACGAUAAUGACGGUACCCGGAGAAGAAGCCCCGGCUAACUUCGUGCCAGCAGCCGCGGUAAAAC